UACGGGAGGCAGCAGUGGGGAAUAUUGCACAAUGGGCGCAAGCCUGAUGCAGCCAUGCCGCGUGUAUGAAGAAGGCCUUCGGGUUGUAAAGUACUUUUCAGUCGUGAGGAAGGUGUUAAGGUUAAUAACCUUAGCAAUUGACGUUAGCGACAGAAGAAGCACCGGCUAACUCCGUGCCAGCAGCCGCGGUAAUACGGAGGGUGCGAGCGUUAAUCGGAAUUACUGGGCAUAAAGGGCACGCAGGCGGUUAAUUAAGUUGGAUGUGAAUCCCCGGGCUUAACCUGGGAAUGGCAUUCAAGACUGGUUAGCUAGAGUCUUGUAGAGGGGGUAGAAUUCCAUGUGUAGCGGUGAAAUGCGUAGAGAUGUGGAGGAAUACCGGUGGCGAAGGCGGCCCCUGGGACAAAGGCUGACGCUCAUGUGCGAAAGCGUGGGGAGCAAACGAGGAUUAGAU
rnacentral:rRNA from 1 species